AUUGAACGCUGGCGGCAGGCCUAACACAUGCAAGUCGAACGGUAACAGGAAUCAGCUUGCUGAUUCGCUGACGAGUGGCGGACGGGUGAGUAAUGUCUGGGAAACUGCCUGAUGGAGGGGGAUAACUACUGGAAACGGUAGCUAAUACCGCAUAACGUCGCAAGACCAAAGAGGGGGACCUUCGGGCCUCUUGCCAUCGGAUGUGCCCAGAUGGGAUUAGCUAGUAGGUGGGGUAACGGCUCACCCAGGCGACGAUCCCUAGCUGGUCUGAGAGGAUGACCAGCCACACUGGAACUGAGACACGGUCCAGACUCCUACGGGAGGCAGCAGUGGGGAAUAUUGCACAAUGGGCGCAAGCCUGAUGCAGCCAUGCCGCGUGUAUGAAGAAGGCCUUCGGGUUGUAAAGUACUUUCAGCGAGGAGGAAGGUGUUGUGGUUAAUAACCACAGCAAUUGACGUUACUCGCAGAAGAAGCACCGGCUAACUCCGUGCCAGCCGCCGCAGUAA
rnacentral:rRNA from 1 species